rnacentral:rRNA from 1 species
UUAAAUUGAAGAGUUUGAUCAUGGCUCAGAUUGAACGCUGGCGGCAGGCCUAACACAUGCAAGUCGAACGGUAGCACAGAGAGCUUGCUCUCGGGUGACGAGUGGCGGACGGGUGAGUAAUGUCUGGGAAACUGCCUGAUGGAGGGGGAUAACUACUGGAAACGGUGGCUAAUACCGCAUAACGUCGCAAGACCAAAGAGGGGGACCUUCGGGCCUCUUGCCAUCAGAUGUGCCCAGAUGGGAUUAGCUUGUUGGUGAGGUAACGGCUCAC